AGAGUUUGAUCAUGGCUCAGGACGAACGCUGGCGGCGUGCCUAAUACAUGCAAGUAGAACGCUGAAGAAGGGAGCUUGCUUCUUUUGGAUGAGUUGCGAACGGGUGAGUAACGCGUAGGUAACCUGCCUUGUAGCGGGGGAUAACUAUUGGAAACGAUAGCUAAUACCGCAUAACAGCUUUUGACACAUGUUAGAAGCUUGAAAGAUGCAAUUGCAUCACUACGAGAUGGACCUGCGUUGUAUUAGCUAGUAGGUAGGGUAACGGCCUACCUAGGCGACGAUACAUAGCCGACCUGAGAGGGUGAUCGGCCACACUGGGACUGAGACACGGCCCAGACUCCUACGGGAGGCAGCAGUAGGGAAUCUUCGGCAAUGGGGGCAACCCUGACCGAGCAACGCCGCGUGAGUGAAGAAGGUUUUCGGAUCGUAAAGCUCUGUUGUAAGAGAAGAACGUGUGUGAGAGUGGAAAGUUCACACAGUGACGGUAACUUACCAGAAAGGGACGGCUAACUACGUGCCAGCAGCCGCGGUAAUACGUAGGUCCCGAGCGUUGUCCGGAUUUAUUGGGCGUAAAGCGAGCGCAGGCGGUUUAAUAAGUCUGAAGUUAAAGGCAGUGGCUUAACCAUUGUUCGCUUUGGAAACUGUUAAACUUGAGUGCAGAAGGGGAGAGUGGAAUUCCAUGUGUAGCGGUGAAAUGCGUAGAUAUAUGGAGGAACACCGGUGGCGAAAGCGGCUCUCUGGUCUGUAACUGACGCUGAGGCUCGAAAGCGUGGGGAGCAAACAGGAUUAGAUACCCUGGUAGUCCACGCCGUAAACGAUGAGUGCUAGGUGUUAGGCCCUUUCCGGGGCUUAGUGCCGCAGCUAACGCAUUAAGCACUCCGCCUGGGGAGUACGACCGCAAGGUUGAAACUCAAAGGAAUUGACGG
rnacentral:rRNA from 1 species